rnacentral:rRNA from 1 species
GACAGAGGUGCGGAGCGUUAGGCGGAAUCACGGGGCUUAAAGCGUGUGUAGGCGGAUCGUUAAGUCUCUUGUGAAAUCCCACGGCUCAACCGUGGAACUGCUGGGUAUACUGGCGAUCUUGAGCAACCUAGGGGCAGACGGAACAAGUGGUGGAGCGGUGAAAUGCGUAGAUAUCACUUGGAACGCCGACGGUGAAAACAGUCUGCUGGGGGUUUGCUGACGCUGAGACACGAAAGCCAGGGGAGCGAACGGG